rnacentral:rRNA from 1 species
UCGAGAAUAUUUGGCAAUGGGCGCAAGCCUGACCAUGCGACGCCGCGUGGUUGAUGAAGUCCUUCGGGACGUAAAGACCUUUUAUGAGGGAGGAAGUAAUUGACGUUACCUCAUGAAUAAGGGGCUCCUAACUCUGUGCCAGCAGGAGCGGUAAUACAGAGGCCCCAAGCAUUAUCCGGAAUCACUGGGCGUAAAGGGUGUGCAGGCGGUUUUGCUAGUCCUUCGUAAAAGCCCGUGGGCUCAACCCAUGGAAUGCGGCGGAAACGGCAAAACUUCGAGGACGCGAGAGGUAGAGGGAACUCAUGGUGUAGGGGUGAAAUCCGUUGAUAUCAUGGGGAACACCAAAUGCGAAGGCACUCUACUGGCGCGCUCCUGACGCUCAGACACGAAAGCGUGGGAAUCGAACGGGAUUAGAUACCCCCGUAGUCC